AAAAAUGAGUGGAAAUUUGGUUUAAUGCUAGUUUGUUCUGCUGCAUGGAACAUAUUCCACCAUGGAAUUUUACUUCCAAUUCCUUAUGCCUAUUGACUUGACAAGUUUCUUUCACAUUAUUUGAUAGUUAUAGUAGUUACUUUGCUAAGCCUAGUUCUAUUUGUCUCUAGCUGCUGGUCAUAAGUCUUACAUAAGUUAAAUGCUAUUAAAAGGUACUGGACGAGUGUCAGAAGAACUUUGGCAACUCUUGGAGAGCUGUAAAGGAAGAUACUACUCAAGCAUGGCCAUAUUUGACUGAAGGUUUAACAAAAUUUCAGUAAUCAUGCGGACGAGUGGGAUGCCCAUAUGGGAAUGUAUUGCCUGGGAUGUAAACUCGCAACACUCUUUUACGUGUCCCCAGCACGCUUGACUUGACAGAGUGGAGGCUUAGCUGUAUCAUGUCCUCUAGCCUUCACACCAUGGAGGGAAAACUGAAUCGAAUGCCAUGAUAUAAUACUCCUUCAUUCUUGUCGUUGUUGAGUUAGUUGAUGUGCUGACCCUUCCAUUGUCUUACAUAACUGCUUUUGCUCA